rfam:Triticum urartu cultivar G1812 contig81183, whole genome shotgun sequence.
AUACUACUCCCUCCGUCCGACAAUACUUGUCAUCGAAAUGAAUAAAAGGGGGUGUAUCUAGAUGUAUUUUAGUUCUAGACACAUCCCCUUUUUUAUCAAUUUUGAUGACAAGUAUUUUGGGACGGAGGGAGUACGUA